UACGUAGGGCGCAAGCGUUGUCCGGAAUUAUUGGGCGUAAAGAGCUCGUAGGCGGUUUGUCGCGUCUGCCGUGAAAACCCGAGGCUUAACCUCGGGCUUGCGGUGGAUACGGGCAGACUAGAGGUAGGUAGGGGAGAAUGGAAUUCCCGGUGUAGCGGUGAAAUGCGCAGAUAUCGGGAGGAACACCGGUGGCGAAGGCGGUUCUCUGGGCCUUACCUGACGCUGAGGAGCGAAAGCGUGGGGAGCGAACAGG
rnacentral:rRNA from 1 species